GACGAACGCGGCGGCGUGCUUAACACAUGCAAGUCGAACGGAGCGAAUGAAAGCUUGCUUUUAUGAGCUUAGAGGCAAACGGGUGAGUAACACGUAGACAACCUGCCGAUCAGAUGGGGACAACAUUCCGAAAGGAAUGCUAAUACCGAAUGAAGUGUGGGGGAGGCAUCUUCCCUACAUGAAAGAUGGCCUCUAUAUAUAAGCUAUCACUGAUCGAUGGGUCUGCGUCUGAUUAGCUAGUAGGUAAGGUAACGGCUUACCUAGGCGACGAUCAGUAGCCGGUCUGAGAGGAUGAACGGCCACAUUGGGACUGAGACACGGCCCAGACUCCUACGGGAGGCAGCAGUGGGGAAUCUUCCGCAAUGGGCGCAAGCCUGACGGAGCAACGCCGCGUGAGUGAAGAAGGUCUUCGGAUCGUAAAGCUCUGUUGAAGGGGACGAACGAUCGAGGGGCGAACAGGCUCUCGGUA
rnacentral:rRNA from 1 species